rnacentral:rRNA from 1 species
UAGCCGUAAACGAUACCCGCUAGGUGUCGGCCACGGUGCGACCGUUGUCGGUGCCGUAGGGAAGCCGUGAAGCGAGCCACCUGGGAAGUACGGCCGCAAGGCUGAAACUUAAAGGAAUUGGCGGGGGAGCACAACAACGGGUGGAGCUUGCGGUUUAAUUGGAUUCAACGCCGGAAAUCUUACCGGGACCGACAGCAACAUGAAGGCCAAGCUGAAGACUUUGCCGGAUUAGCUGAGAGGUGGUGCAUGGCGUAGACGUCU